UAAUAUUUAAGGCUACAUCCCAUUUCUUCCAAAGACAUGUUUUCCUUGUAGAAAUGUCAUAUUAGAAGGUAUACUUAAAGACACCAGGAACUUUUGUAUCCCUGACAUUUAUAAGCCGUGCUGGGAGCCUUUUUUGGCUGAAGAGUAGUAUAAAAACGACUUAAAUGGAAAAAAAAUAGUAGCUGGAGGAAUAGAAACCAUUCAAGUUGUGGAGGAGAGUGGUAGAAGGGAGGCCCUCACUCUGGUUCUAUCUGCUUUCUUAGUGUGUGUUGAGCGGAAGGAACAAUUUUGCACAUGUCCAGAGGAACUGGACAUGUUGUUGUUAGUUUAUGUGUGCCAGUGCAAAGCCCAAGCCCUAAUCCUGGUUAGACCUGGCUUUAAGGAAGCCUGCCUUAACCUCAGGCUUUAAGCUUUACUUCUUUAACCAAAUUGAUAUACUGCUUCAUUUUAAGUAGAACCUCUAAGCAGUUUACAAAAAAAUCUAGCUCUUGGCCACUUCUUAUGGCAUCUUGCACUGAAUUAUCUUGCUGCGGUUUAAGACAAGACUGCCCAGGCAGGUAGCCCGCAAACCCUCCCUGUCUCCUUCAGUUCAGUAUUUCGGCAUUGGGCCAUACACAGCUGAACUAAACCUGGACCAGGGAUGGCAACUUGAAAAAAUAUGGGGGGGGGCUAUAAGCCCCGCCCUGCGUAAUUUAUCACAUGACAUGGCACACCCACACCAUUUGGAUGGGAAUGGCAAUUUAUUUUAGAGGGGGGGCAGUGCCCUCAAAUAUUUUUGGGGUGUGUGUGCAAAGGGCCCUUGGCCCCUAGGAGUUGGCUCCUAUGACCUAGACCAAGUGUUAGUAGGAUUGAGUGUGGGGAGAGCAUUUCCAAGAAGGUUCAAGAUUUAUCUUGCCAGAUUGUCAAAGCUGUUGUAGAACCCAUGCUAGUUCUGCUUCGGUAAGGCUUGUUCUUCUAUAUGCUUGGUUAUUUCUUCUUUAGCAGUACUUUCCACUAGUUUUCAGGGGACAGAAAUUAAGGUAACUGACCUGUAAUUUCCAGGAUCCUUCAGAAUGGCUCCUGACAUCCAAAGAGCAACAAUAACUGCCCCCUCCAACUUGUACCAAGUACGAUGAUCAUCCCUUGAGAAGAUGCCAAAUUUAUGUUAAAAAAUGUUUAACAUCAUGCCAAAGUCAUGUUUUGGUUUUGAUUCGAAUGGUGCCUGGCUCCUAAUUUUUUUAUAUAGAUCUCCAUUUCCACCUCAGAAACCUUUGAGCCUAGUCUGCUAUUUUGAUUCACAGUGGUGCCCAGUGUCCAAAUGGUGAUGAAGUCUACUGCCCCAACUGAGGAAUGCUCGGGCCAUCUUUGGUGAUGACAUCGUGAGAGGCAGCCAAACCUAUGCCUAAAAAUGGGUGAUGCCAUGCCAAAGCAGAACCUAUAGAGAACAAACAGAUGAAUGGACAAACUACUUUCCAAAAUAUGCAAUCUGGAGGCACCCACAAAAUGAAAAGAAUCAAAGACAUAAACUAACCAAAUAAAUACAAGCAUUAAAACUUGUAUUUAUAUACCUCUUUGCAGCAAGGAUGUGGAAUCUUUUUUUUAGCCUGAGGUCCGCAUCCCAUUCCCUUCUGGACAAUUUUCUAGGGGUCACAUGCCAGCAGAGGACAAGGCCAGUGGCUAAAGUGGGCUAAGAAACAGGUGUGAAUUUCAUCUUUGUGCAGUAGGCUAAUGUCUACACAUACUAUCCUCCAUCUAGGCAAGCAUUGUCAGAGUUUGAGGUUAUGUUCCAUGCAAGCAAAAACACUCGAGGAUGCAAAGCAGGGCCAAUAGAAAUGGGAUGUGACUGGUGAAGAAGUAUGGCCUGGGAGAGAAUCCCCAGGGUCAGAUAGAGAGCCCUGGGGGGCUGCAUUUGGUGCCCAGGGCUGAAGUUCCUCAUCCCUGCCUUAGAGUGUUUGGAACUCUUCAAGAUGCAUGGGCCUGGUUUAGACAUUACAGUAAACUAUAGUUUAGCACUAAACAAAUGAGUCUGGGUGAAACUUGGGCUCACAUACUAUGGCCUCCCUUCUGAUGCAGUUGUGAAGAGGGGCUUGGAAGCAUCCACUUUACUGUUUUAAAUUAACUGCAGUUUGUCAUUUUGCCCAAUGUGAGCUACGUAACUAUGGUUAGUUUCAAUUACAAUUGGUUGAAACAAGCCAGGAUCAGAAACCAUGCUUUGAUCUUGACUUGUUUCUAUAAACAAAUGUUUAUACUAACCACAGCUUGGCUCAGUGCAGUUGUGAUGAUAAACUAUGGUUAAUUUAAAGCAGCAAGUGGAUGUAUCCAAUCACCUCAUCGUGCUUUCAGAGGGGAGGGGGCGCACAUGAGCUUGAGGUUUGUCCAGUGUUGUUUGUGUAGCACUCUACUGUGGUUUAGCACUAUCUUUGAAUUAGGCCAUAAUCUCAGUCAUUCUUAGAACAGUCCUGUAAGGUCAGUACCUGGCAGCUGAAGUACAACUGUGGGAGAGCUGAUUCUGAGAGACAGUAAUUUACUUUAAUCUGUCUGGUGUAUUUAUAGCUGAGGUGAGAUUUGAACUAGGGAUUUCCUGGCUCACAGAUUACACUAAAAUACACGAGCUCUACUUAGUACAUGCCAUGGCUAAUACACAAACCCAGUAAAUUUAUAACUAAAGCUAUUCAGUAUAUAGAACCUAUGAGCUGACCAGAGGUAUAAAUGCUUAACCAUAAUCACAUACAUUCAGAAGCAGAGGAGGAUGGGGCACUGUGCCCUGCCUUAGUAACUUUAUUCAGAUUCAAAAUGUAUCUUUUAAAAGUGGUGAGCUAAGUACAACCUAGCUGGCCAAUUAACCAUUACUAAAAUGCCUAAAAAGUCAUUUAGUAUAUCCAAAGCUACACGGAGCAGAUUUUGAGUGUGCACAGAGAGUAGUAUUUAAAAUAUGGGAACUAAAGAAAAGCUACAGAAAAAAAACAGCAUAACAAUCAUGAGCAGCAACAAAUAAAGCACUAUGAAAGAAGCUUGUCAGAAUGAAAAUGCUAUUGCAAUCUUCCUAAAUGACCCUGUUCCUUGUCGCCACUAAGAUCCUUUAAAAUAUGUGUAAGGAACCUUGGACUGCCCAGAGGUUGCUGCUCAUUGACCAUGCUUGAUAGGACUGGUGGGAGUUGUUCAGCAACAUCUGGAGAGACGUUCCCCUUAAUUUUUUUUUUUUAAUAAUUUUUAUUAAGGUUUUAGACAACAAAGAAAGAAAAAAAACCAUACACAAUACAUAUAACAACAUCACACACAAGAAGCAACAC